AUUAAAAAAAAAGAAAAUUGCUUUGUAAAAUUAACUUUUUCAAUCAAAACCAAGAUUUUUCAGAUACAAAGAAUGCAGCCCACUGGUCAGAUUUGUCAGUUCAAAGAGAAUAAAUUCUAGUUUUCUAUUUUUCUAGCCUGUUUAUGACUAUCCAAUAGGAUAUCAAAAAAGACUAAAGCAUUUGGAAUACAAGUUCAGUACUCCUGAGUCUAACAACGUGCCAAAUCAGGAGAUAAGCACAUUCUUAUCAAUUUUCAAUCAUUCAAGACCAAUUUUGCUUAUAAUUAUCCAGUUAUUUUAGACCAUCUUUCUCCUGAAGCCAGCCUUAUGGCUAUUCAUUUCACUUUAGCAUAAGACCCCAAGAAGGAGAACAAAAUGAGGAAAUGAUUGGUUAAAAUUGGCUGUUUGAAAUUCUGAAACAUGUCCACCAUUCCCUUCACACAUGCCCACCCCUCUUAGAAGUAGCACUUUCAGAUUAUUUAAGACUCGAUGCUUCUAUGUGGAUUUUAAUUUGUCAUCUGUCCUCUAUAACAGCUAGUAGGUUAAAUUUGACUCUAUUUUAAGCAUAAUUGACCUAUGCUAAUCAUCUGCUAAAAUAAAUUUCACUCUUAGAGUUAAUAAAGUGUGUUUGUCAUAGAAGACCCAUUGAAGUAAGAAACUGAGGAGUCCUUAUGGUAAAGUGGGCCAAGAUAUAAGACAUAAAUUUUCCCAUGCAAAUCAACAACUGUAGCUUCAAAAAUAUCCUGACACACAAGUAUUGGACAGGCCAUGUUUCUCUCACUCCCUAAAAAAAUUGGCCGGGGAAGGAGUAGGAGAGCUCCCAUAGCUCUCCCAAGGCUUAUUAUUCUCCAUUACUCCAUGGGAACAGCCUUGUCAGAAAAGAGUGAAAGACCAUUUGUCAACCUCUGUUCAACUCCCUGAUUCUAGCCAACCUUCAUCAAUCCCAAGUGAGCAGCCAGAGAGAAAUGCAAACCCCGUAUCUCCAGCAUCAUUGUCUGCUGGAGUCAAAAAUCACAAUUCCACCACCCACCCCAACACUACUGGCCCUGUUUCUCCCAAUUGUUUUUUUAUUAUGUUUUUUAAAAAAUCAUCUUUCCCCAUCCCUGAGACACUGAGGAGGGGAAAUUAUAGUAGAUAAAUAUGAAGCAUGUAGAUCCUUUAAAAAUGUUUUUAAUAAUAAACGAGAAAAUGAAAAGGAGAGGGUUGGAAGGAGAAAAUUCAAAUGCCAGGAAAUUGUUCAGUUUUGCUUUUAAAUAUGUUAACACUCAUUUAUACAUCUGCAAGAGACUUUCCAUUAAAGAAAAAUUCUAUGAGUGUGGCUCUGGUUGCAUGAAUAAGGAUGAAAUUACUUUUUUAGACAAUGUUUUCCACAGAUAAUUCAGAGACCCCUGAAAUUAGGUAUCCCUCUUGUAGAUGUCCUUGAGAUGCUGCCGGACUUGGGAAAGAGGAAACUGGGAUAUGGGGCUAUACCAAAAGGUGCUUAUAGUUAUAGGACAGUGAGGAAAGGGGCAGUGGGAGAAAAAUCCGAAGUCUGAGAAUCUGGAUUGCAAAAGAAGACUACCGAGGUCGUGGGAGAAAGGAGAGGAAACAAGGAUGAAAACCGAAAGAGGAAGAGGCAUGAAAUGUUGUCAAAUGCCAAAAGGCAUUUGGAGAGAAGUUGGGAAUUGCAUUAACAAAACCACUGCAAAUCUCAUUUCAGACCAUUUAGAGAUAUGCCUCCUGGGAACUGCGAGCUCAGGCUGUUUAACAUCAAACAAAUUGAUCCACUCCAUCCCUACCCUAAUUAAAUAAAUCAUUCAAUAAUUCCACCGGGUUAAAGAACCAAAUAUUAAAAACCUUCAGGGCCCACUCUUGCCAAAUAUGUCAGGGAUCGCGUGCGUGUGUGUGUGUGUGUGUGUGUUCUGUGACACCACUACUCUUAAAUAAGCAGAGCUAAGACUUAGGGGAUUGGGAGAUUAUUGCAAAAAGGGCAUGGGCCGGAGGACUUUGUUGGGAGCCUAGGAAAGAAGAUUGUGUGGGGACGGUGGGCAGCGAACGUGUUGGGAACAAUAUGAAAAACCAGGAAUUGCCUUGGAAACGACGGGGCCGGGCAAGACAAUGUCCGAAAGAAAAAUGAGCAGGUGCGGGAUGUGGCCAGAGUCGGAGAAGAGUCCGGGCGCCCGGAGUGGCUCCAGGAACGACGGAGACCCCUCAAUGUUUUUGGGGGCGGUUGAAGAAAAGAAGAAUGGUAUUCAUGCAGUUCCCAUUUUACAGGUGAAAACAGGAGGACUUUUUCUGUGAAGUCAAGAAAGUGGUUACAAUGGUACUUUCAGCCUGUCCUAAUUAUAUAUCGCCCCUCCCCUUUUUAUUAAUAACAUUGAAAUGUGAUGGGGAAAACACUGAAGCUGUCAGUUGAAACCGGCUGGGACAUUUUAGCCUUUCUCUUCAACAUAAAGAAUGGGUGUUUUUGGAGGGGGUGAGAGGAAUGGAGAAAUGUUGUCAAAGAGUACAAUGUUUUAGUUGAGACAGGAGAAUAUAUUUUGUUGAGAUCUACAGCACAGCAUGGUUACUGUAGUUAACAGUGAAGCAUUGUAUAUUUCAAAAUUGCAAAGACAGUAAAUUUCAAAUGUUGUCACCACAAAAAA